ensembl:snRNA U6 U6 spliceosomal RNA
AUGCUCACUUCGGCAGCACACAUACUAACACUGGAACGAUACAGAGAAGAUUAGCAUGGCCCCUGCACAAGGAUGACACGCAAAUUCCUGAAGCGUUCCAUAUUUUA